rnacentral:rRNA from 1 species
AUAUCAAUAAGCGGAGGAAAAGAAACCAACAGGGAUUGCCUCAGUAACGGCGAGUGAAGCGGCAAAAGCUCAAAUUUGAAAUCUGGUACCUUUGGUGCCCGAGUUGUAAUUUGAAGAACGCAUUUUGGGGGCAGCCUUCAUCUAUGUUCCUUGGAACAGGACGUCUUAGAGGGUGAGAAUCCCGUGAGAUGGGGAGAUCUGCUUCUGUGUGAAGUGCGUUCGACGAGUCGAGUUGUUUGGGAAUGCAGCUCUAAGUGGGUGGUAAAUUCCAUCUAAAGCUAAAUAUUGGCGAGAGACCGAUAGCGAACAAGUACAGUGAUGGAAAGAUGAAAAGAACUUUGAAAAGAGAGUGAAAAAGUACGUGAAAUUGUUGAAAGGGAAGGGUAUUAGAUCAGACUUGGGCAGUUGUGAACAGCGCGCACUUGUUGCGUGUGUACUCGCGGCUGGCUGGGCCAGCAUCGAUUGGAGAGGUUGGAUAAUUAGUUGUGAACGUGGCUCUUCGGAGUGUUAUAGCACGACUUUUGAUACGGCCAUUUUCGAUCGAGGGAUGCGCAUUUUAAUGCUAGGAUGCUGGC